rnacentral:piRNA from 1 species
GGUUGGUGUGGGAAGUGAGGAUGG